AAAUAAAAUGCUUCGCUGAGGCGCAGCUUGAUACGACCGCAGAGGUCGAACCCUGAACAGUUGGGGCAAGUAUGGACACAACAUUCAAGCUUGAUACAGCUCUGAAUUUGGAUUGUUAUUAAAUAUUUGACACAGCAUAGGUUUCUGACACAGAAAGAAUGUGGUCUAAGAACUUGGAAUUUUUUUAAUUUACCUAUUAUGGUCCAAUGUCCAAAAUCAAAAUACAUGGUUAGAUUCAGCAUAUCAAAGAACCCAAUAUAUUCAAUUUUUGUUAAAAUCAAACAAAGUUUAAUUUUGGACCCCAACUUGGACAAACUUGAAAACUGGGCCCAUAAUCAAAAAUCUAAACACAUGUUUAGAUUCAGCAUAUCAAAGAACCCCAAGAAUUCAAUUUUUGCUAAAAUCAAACUAAGUUUAAUUUUGGACCCUUUGGACCUUAAUGUAGACCAAUUUAAAAAACGGGACUUAAAAUUAAAAAUCUAAAUACACGGUUAGAUUUGGAAUAUCAAAGAACCCCAAUAAUUCAAUUUUUGAUGAAAUCAAACAAAGUUUAAUUUUGGACCCUUUUGACCUCAAUAUGAACCAAUUUGAUAGCGGGGCCCACAAAUAAAAAAUCUAAAUUCAUGGUUAGAUUCAGCAUAUCAAAGAACCCCAUAUAUUCAAUUUUUGUUGAAAUCAAAAAAAGUUUAAUUUUGGACCCUUUUGACCUCAAUAUGAACCAAUUUGAUAGCGGGGCCUACAAAUAAAAAAUCUAAUUACAUGGUUAGAUUCAGCAUAUCAAAGAACCUCAUAUAUUCAAUUUUUGUUGAAAUCAAACAAAGUUUAAUUUUGGACCAACUUGAAAACUGGGCCCAUAAUCAAAAAUCUAAAUACAUGUUUAGAUUCAGCAUAUCAAAGAACCCCAAGAAUUCAAUUUUUGUUAAAAUCAAACUAAGUUUAAUUUUGGACCCUUUGGACCUUAAUGUAGACCAAUUUAAAAAACAGGACCCAAAAUUAAAAAUCUAAAUACACGGUUAGAUUUGGAAUAUCAAAGAACCCCAAUAAUUCAAUUUUCGAUGAAAUCAAACAAAGUUUAAUUUUGGACCCUUUUGACCUCAAUAUGAACCAAUUUGAUAGCGGGGUCCACAAAUAAAAAAUCUAAAUACAUGGUUAGAUUCAGCAUAUCAAAGAACCCCAUAUAUUCAAUUUUUGUUGAAAUCAAACAAAGUUUAAUUUUGGACCCCAAUUUGGACCAACUUGAAAACUGGGCCAAAAAUCAAAAAUCUAAAUACAUGUUUAGAUUCAGCAUAUCAAAGAACCUCAUAUAUUCAAUUUUUGUUAAAAUCAAAGAAAGUUUAAUUUUGGACCCUUUGGACCUUAAUGUAGACCAAUUUGAAAACUGGACCCAAAAUUAAAAAUAUAAAUACACUGUUAGAUUCGGCAUAACAAAUAAAUAAAUGUGAUCAAAGAUUUUACAAAUCUAAUGCGCCAUACUGUGCAAUUAAAGAUUACUUCUUGAAAUUUUUCAAUAUUUGAAAUUUGAAAAAAAAAUAAUAUUUGAAGAAUAAUUCUUUUUAAUUUCUGAAAUCUGAAAUGAGAAAAAAUUGACCCCCCACAAUUUCUUUUUAUCCCCCCUUUUUUCCCCAAAAAAAUUCUUUCCCUCAAGAUAUGGUCAUAAUCUCAAUUCAAAUGUCCAAUGGAGUUGGCAACCAUAAUUACCCAUUUAAAUUUACCAUAGUGCUAACUUAAUCUAUUUUGUAAUAGAAUUAAAAAUAUAGUGUCAAAUCUUUCAUAUGGAUUUUUUUGUAAGAAAAAAGAUGCAACAUUUGCAGAUAUUUUUACUGGUCUUCCUUUAUAAAUAUGCAUUUCUUUAAACAUAAUUUAAAAGCAGUGUAAGGGAAGUAACCAAAACGUUGUAUUUGGAUUACCUCCCUUACACUGUUUUAAAUUAUCUUUAUUGUUCAUUUACCAUUACUUUAUACAUAAUUUAAAAGCAGUGUAAGGGAGAUAAUUUCAAUGAUGUAUUUGAUUUAUCUCCCUUACACUGCUUUAAAUUAUGUUUUGUACUAAAGUAUUUGUCCAUUAACCAGGACAACCUUGUUUUUCCCCCUUUUUUGCCCCUAAUUCCUAAACGGUUUGAGCCAUAACCCCCCAAAGCAAAUCCUAACCAUCCCUUUGUGGUAUGGAAACUUGUAGUAUAAUUUCAGAGAGAUCCAUACACCGUUCCACAGUUAUUGUCUGGAAACUAGAAAAUGCUUAUUUUUGGCCCCUUUUUGGCCCCUUUAUUCCUUAACUGUUAGUACCAUAACCCCCAAAAUCAAUCCCAACCUUCCUUUUGUGGUAUUUAACCUUAUGGUCAAAUUUCAAAAAGAUCCAUUCACUUAAACUAAAGUUAGAGUGCGAAAACCAAUGUGUCUUCGGACGACGACGCCGGACGACGACGACGCCAACGUCAUACCAAUAUACGACCACAAAAUUUUUUUGCGGUCGUAUAAAAAUG